UCUGUUUUUAGGUUUUUGCAGAAUUUACUCGCAUUGCCUGCAAGAAUCUCCAGAGUGAAUUCUUUGAUGAACUUGACAGACACACACCCCGUCUAAUGAAGAUUUUUCGGUCUAAAACUGGAACCCUGGGUCAGACCUUAUCAAAAUUACUAGAGCAAGUUGAGUCAAGAAGAAACGCCAAUCAAACAUCAAAUCAGGAAACGGAAGUUACAAUUCGACGCACUGUGGUUCUUCGUGGUCUCCCUGUCCUUCUUGGGGACAACCCCUCAGAAUUUUUUAAGGUUUGCUUUGACUCAGAAGAAAACAACAUUGAGCAGAUUCCUGUUGGCAUUCUGUUAGUCGACGAUGAAGACUCUCCUCACUGCUCUUCGUUGAUCCGUGUACGUCCAGUCUCCACUGCUAUCAUCAUAGAGGGAGGUAUUGUUAUGGAUGAUGUCAGGGACCUGCCUCUUGCUGUUUGUCUCUUGUUUGGACUAUCAUAUGCACUCCAUCUUGAUUACCCAAAGAACAUGAAGAACACAUUCAACUUCAUCCAGCAAGUCAUGCUUGAUCUGGGAUCGAAGUCAUUGAAACCAAAACUUCAGACUUUGAAGAACCAGUUAUUUGCUUAAAUCAACACAUUUAGGUCAAAAUCAUCUGACCUGCAGUUCACAUAGCCACUACUGGGAUGACAUGAUUCAUGUCAUCACACAUGUCAUAGCAAGAA